GAUGAACGCUGGCGGCGUGCCUAAUACAUGCAAGUCGAGCGAACGGACGAGAAGCUUGCUUCUCUGAUGUUAGCGGCGGACGGGUGAGUAACACGUGGAUAACCUACCUAUAAGACUGGGAUAACUUCGGGAAACCGGAGCUAAUACCGGAUAAUAUUUUGGACCGCAUGGUUCAAAAGUGAAAGACGGUCUUGCUGUCACUUAUAGAUGGAUCCGCGCUGCAUUAGCUAGUUGGUAAGGUAACGGCUUACCAAGGCAACGAUGCAUAGCCGACCUGAGAGGGUGAUCGGCCACACUGGAACUGAGACACGGUCCAGACUCCUACGGGAGGCAGCAGUAGGGAAUCUUCCGCAAUGGGCGAAAGCCUGACGGAGCAACGCCGCGUGAGUGAUGAAGGUCUUCGGAUCGUAAAACUCUGUUAUUAGGGAAGAACAUAUGUGUAAGUAACUGUGCACAUCUUGACGGUACCUAAUCAGAAAGCCACGGCUAACUACGUG
rnacentral:rRNA from 1 species